rnacentral:rRNA from 1 species
AAGCGUGCGUAGGCGGCUUUUUAAGUCGGAUGUGAAAUCCCCGAGCUUAACUUGGGAAUUGCAUUCGAUACUGGGAAGCUAGAGUAUGGGGAGAGGAUGGUAGAAUUCCAGGUGUAGCGGUGAAAUGCGUAGAGAUCUGGAGGAAUACCGAUGGCGAAGGCAGCCAUCUGGCCUAAUACUGACGCUGAGGUACGAAAGCAUGGGGAGCAAACAGGAUUAGAUACCCUUGU